AAAGUUUUAAGUUAAACUAAACUAAUAAUCUUCAAAAUUAUUAAUAAAUUAAAUAAUUUAAGCUUUA
rnacentral:tRNA from 1 species